rnacentral:rRNA from 1 species
CCUACGGGUGGCAGCAGUGAGGAAUAUUGGUCAAUGGACGAGAGUCUGAACCAGCCAAGUAGCGUGAAGGAUGACUGCCCUAUGGGUUGUAAACUUCUUUUGUGCGGGAGCAAUAAUGGUCACGUGUGGCCAGACGAGAGUACCGUACGAAUAAGCAUCGGCUAACUCCGUGCCAGCAGCCGCGGUAAUACGGAGGAUCCGAGCGUUAUCCGGAUUUAUUGGGUUUAAAGGGAGCGUAGAUGGGUUGUUAAGUCAGUUGUGAAAGUUUGCGGCUCAACCGUAAAAUUGCAAUUGAUACUGGCAGUCUUGAGUACAGUUGAGGUAGGCGGAAUUCGUGGUGUAGCGGUGAAAUGCUUAGAUAUCACGAAGAACUCCGAUUGCGAAGGCAGCUUACUAAACUGCCACUGACAUUGAUGCUCGAAAGUGUGGGUAUCAAACAGGAUUAGAUACCCCUGUAGUC